UACGUAGGGGGCAAGCGUUGUCCGGAAUCAUUGGGCGUAAAGAGCGUGUAGGCGGUUCGAUAAGUCUGCUGUGAAAGUCCAAGGCUCAACCUUGGGAUGCCGGUGGAUACUGUCGAACUCGAGUCCGGAAGAGGAGUGUGGAAUUCCUGGUGUAGCGGUGAAAUGCGCAGAUAUCGGGAAGAACACCCGUGGCGAAGGCGGCUCUCUGGGACGGUACUGACGCUGAGACGCGAAAGCGUGGGGAGCGAACAGG
rnacentral:rRNA from 1 species